AAACAUAGCCUUAUGGUGUAAUAUUUAUAAGGUGAAUUCUGCCCAGUGAAAUUUAAACGGCCGCGGUAUCCUGACCGUGCAAAGGUAGCAUAAUCAUUUGCCUCUUAAUUAGAGGCUAGUAUGAAAGAAUAAACAAGAAAAAAGCUGUCUUAAUUUUAAAAAUAAAAAUUAAACUUUAGGUGAAGAUGCCUAAAUACACUCAAAAGACAAGAAGACCCUAUCAAGCUUAAUAAUAUAAUAUAAUACUCAUAAUAUAAUUAUUUUAUUGGGGCGAUAAUAAUUUUCUAUAAACACUUUAAUAUCUAAAGAAAUAUAUUUCAAAAAACUUUUCUAAAAUAUAAGAAAGCUACUGUAGGGAUAACAGGCUAAUAUUUUUCAAGAGCUCUUAUCAACAAAAAUGAUUGGCACCUCGAUGUUGGCUUAGGAAACCUAUUUUAUGCAGCAGUAAAAAAAGGGGGUUUGUUCAACCUUUAAUAUCCUACAUGAUCUGA
rnacentral:rRNA from 1 species